CUAACAUUAUCAUCCUGAAAAUUUAACAUAUUCUGAUAUCUAAAUUCUCCUUUUCAACAGGUAUAUAUGAUCUCUAUAUUGACAUCUCCCAACAGAAGUUGACAGUAAUUGGGUGGGCAGAUCCAGAAAAAAUAGUGAAAGCCAUUAGGAAAACUAGAAAGAUUGCCACUAUAUGUUCCCACACAGAGCCACCAGAUCAGACGGCUGCUCAGCCAACGGAACCACCACAACAACAACCUGAAGGUGGUGCACCACCACCACCAAACAACGAAGCAGCAAACCCUUCCCUAGCAGCUCCACCGGCUGAAUCAUCACAGCCAGCAGAGCCACCAAAAGACCCACCACCACCUGAGAAUCCACCACCAGAAGAGAAACCAUCACCGUCACCGUCACCUGUUGCUACAGAAUCCAAUGCAAACCAGCCUGCAGGCCCCGCACAAGCCCCUGGACCAAAAGAUGUAGGAGAGGUUCACGUCAUAUACCAUCACCCACCUGACUAUGGGUACAGAUAUAGCUAUGGUCAUAGUUAUGGUGGUCCGUGGAACAGAUACCCAAGCAGCCAUGAACUUCCACCAGAGCCCAGAUACCCUACUAGCCAUGGACUUCCACCAGAGCCUAGAUACCCAACUAGCCAUGGACUUCCAUCAGAGCCCAGAUACCCUACUAGCCAUGGACUUCCGCCAGAGCCUAGAUACCCAACUAGCCAUGGGCUUCCACCAGAGCCAAGAUACCCUAAUGGCCAUGGACUACCACGAGGACCACCACAGCCAAUCUACGUGACUCACAGCUACAACACAUACAGGCCAUCAGCAUAUGUCACAGAAUAUGAGUACAUCCGCUCUCCACCUCGCCACACAAUUUACAGUAGGAUGGAUCAUUACAGUGAGGAUUAUCAUGAAAAUACUCGCAAUGGAAACAUCACAUCCAUCUUCAGUGAUGAAAAUCCAAAUGCGUGUAGGAUAAUGUGAAACUUUCAGGAAGAUUGCAAGAGAAAUGGGGCACUGUCUUGCGCCUCUGGAAAAGAUCAGAGAACGUGAUGGAGAAUAAAAAAAAAAAAAAUCUGGCGGCA
rnacentral:misc_RNA from 1 species